rnacentral:tRNA from 1 species
CGGGGUGUAGCGCAGUCCGGUUAGCGCAUCUGGUUUGGGACCAGAGGGUCACAGGUUCGAAUCCUGUUACCCCGA